CCAGAGUCUCGGACAUGCUCAGCUUCCUCUGAGCCUCUCUUGUGGUACAAAGGGGAUGGAAUCCAGUUUUAACUCCCCUGCUGGAGACACCAUUCAUCAGGGAUUGUCCAUAAGGUGUAGAAGCAGCGUAGUGGGUUCCUGUUUCCCUUCCCACAGUCUCUGGAGCAGGGCUGAAGAAGGCUCCAGGGACCAAUCUCACCAUCUGACAGAGCUGGAAGACAAAGGAAUUAAUGGAGGAAACAAGAGCAGCUGUAAUUACGCAUAAUUUCUUUCCACACAUGUUUAAAGAGGAAGAACUUUUUUGGACAGAGAGAGCAUGUUGAAUCUCUGCACAGUGCACACUAGUCAGUGACUUCUCUAGUUUCAGCUUUCUCAGUUAUCUGUUGGAAGUUCCUCGUCCAACUUCAGCUGCUAGAGAGAUCCUCACCUUGACAUCUUCCCAGACAUGGUGAAAUUAUAGAUCAUCACUUGGGCCGGAUCCUGUGAUGUGCUGGGCAUCUUAAACUUGUGCAAUGAAAGUCUAUCCUAUUGAAAUCUAUGAAUACUAUCCUGCAGAAAUGCAAGCAGCACGGACUGGAAGACCAAAGAGGACAGCAAUAAAAGCACCCCUCCUUGUACCACGCUCCUCAGUGUAACACCAACACCGGCUAAUGUGUCUACCAGGGUACCAUCCAAUCGAAAGACAGCAGGCUGUUAUACAGGCCCUAGAACAGAUAAGCUCCUCU